UGGAUUGAACAUUUGAUCGAGAAAUUUGGGUGAUUGCAGGUCUUCAAAGUUGUACCAUGAGUUGUCUAGCAUAGGAAUUGGUUCACUGUAGCUCCCAAAAGAUUGCAUUAGUGACACAUCGUCAUCAAAUUGAUCAGAAAAUGAGGAAGACAUUGAUGAUGACGGUGAGGGAGAUGAGGAAAAGAAAGAGGGAAGAGGUGGUGAUGAUGCUGAUGGUGUGGUGGCCGGGGAUGUGGAGGAGGUGUUGGUGGUUGUUGUUGCUUUUGUGGUGGUGG
rnacentral:misc_RNA from 1 species